UACGUAGGGGGCAAGCGUUGUCCGGAUUUACUGGGCGUAAAGCGCGCGUAGGCGGAAGCUCAAGUCUGGCCUGAAAGACCCCGGCUCAACCGGGGAGUGGGGCUGGAAACUGGGUUUCUUGAGGGCGAUAGAGGAGUGUGGAAUUCCUGGUGUAGCGGUGAAAUGCGUAGAGAUCGGGAAGAACAUCGGUGGCGAAAGCGCUCUACUGGACGGUGACUGACACUCAGGGACGAAAGCUAGGGGAGCGAAUGGG
rnacentral:rRNA from 1 species